rnacentral:lncRNA from 1 species
CUAAGAAAUGUUUUUACAAGUGCAAAAUGUUCUACGAUAGAUAUCAUUUUGUCAGACACUUUUCUUUUUUUAGAUUUGGUUCUUAUAACAUGCCAAAAAUCUGUAUAUUUGAUAGAGUUUAACAUUAAAUUAAGCGUUUUACUCUUAACAGACUUAUAACCAACCCGAUUAACAGACCAAUCGCCGAUAUAGCCGCAUACUCAAUAUAGAUUAACCGACCAAUCUCUCGGUUAGCCGAGUGUCGGCCGUG